GCGGCGGGAGCGCGCUCGGCGGCAGCGGGAGCCGCGAUCCCACCGGGACACGGCCGCGCCGGCCAUGGAGCCCUCGCCCAAGGACGGCGAGAGCGCGGCGGCCGCCGCCGAGCCCGGGCGGGGCGGCGCGGCCCCGUCCAGCGGCGUGGUGGUGCAGGUCCGGGAGAAGAAGGGCCCCCUGCGCGCCGCCAUCCCCUACAUGCCCUUCCCCGUGGCCGUCAUCUGCCUCUUCCUCAACACCUUCGUGCCGGGGCUGGGCACGUUCGUGUCGGCCUUCACCGUGCUCUGCGGGGCCCGCACUGACCUCCCCGACCGGCACCGGUGCUGCGUCUUCUGGCUCAACAUCGCCGCCGCCCUCAUCCAGAUCCUCACGGCCAUCGUCAUGGUGGGCUGGAUCAUGAGCAUAUUCUGGGGCAUGGACAUGGUCAUCCUGGCAACGGAGCGGAGAUGCAGAGCAGCCGGCGCAGACUUGCACUGACGCCCCCAGCAGCCGAGAUGAGGCGAGCACGGCUUGGCUUGGACUGGUCCCAGCCCUUCAGGAGGACGAGGGUGCCAGGACAAGGACAUGCCCUUGGCAAAGGUGGCACCUGGGUGGGCAGCUGAACCAAGGGAAGGAGAGAUCCUGCCUUCACUCUGCUCCCAGGGGGAUGUCGCUGAAGAUGUUUUGCCUUCUUUCUGUGCUUGCUGGUUGUGAACAUCAAAUGCCAAGGAGCUGUUCAUAGAUACACGUACAGGAUGUAAAAGCAAACCAGUGGUACUUCCUUCCUGCCCCGAGAGUCCAUCUGUGACUUUGCAGCAGUGGAGGGUCCAACCCAGCCCUCUCUGCUGCCUGUGUAUGUAAGAUGUUCACUGAAGCUCUGUCCCUGCAGAUGUCUUGAGAAAUGUGCUUGCUGUAAAUCCUAUCGUACCGCUGACGUGACCGGGGCCAUCCCCUGCUUCCACCCGCUGCCACCAUGCAAGGACCAGAGCUGCCACCAGCCCAGGGGACACUUUUCCCAGCACGGGACUGGUGUCCUGCAGCACCUCGCCUCUAGGGCAGCAAGUACUGCCAAAAGCCUCUGGUAUAAAACAAUACUGGGGGAGCCAAAGAACCUUUCCUGCCCCUGGAAGGGACUUGCUGGCAGUGUCUCCAUGCUUUGGAAAUGGAUCCCCUCAGAGCACGACGAGUGCUCCUGGCUGAAGCAGCAUCCCAGCUCUGCUUGCCCAGGGUAAAAUUAACCACCCAGCGUUUUCACACCUCCUCCCGAAGCACUGCAGAGGGGACAACACCUCCCUCCACCUCCUGUGUGACCAGCUGCAAACCAGCACAGCCAGAGGGCACCAAGCCCCUCCUCUGGUCCCAAGUGCAUGGACCCCAGCUAUCCCAGCACCAUCAGCUGCUUUGUACAUGUAGAUGUUUGACAUGCGAGUUUUACAGCUAAAGAGUGAUCGUGGGUAAUGAAGAAUAAAUGCAGUUGCUCCACCUCA